rnacentral:rRNA from 1 species
GAACGAACGCUGGCGGCAUGCCUAACACAUGCAAGUCGAACGAGACCUUCGGGUCUAGUGGCGCACGGGUGCGUAACGCGUGGGAAUCUGCCCUUAGGUUCGGAAUAACUUCGGGAAACUGAAGCUAAUACCGGAUGAUGACGUAAGUCCAAAGAUUUAUCGCCUAAGGAUGAGCCCGCGUUGGAUUAGCUAGUUGGUAAGGUAACGGCUUACCAAGGCUACGAUGGGUAGGGGUCCUGAGAGGGAGAUCCCCCACACUGGUACUGAGACACGGCCCAGACUCCUACGGGAGGCAGCAGUGGGGAAUAUUGGACAAUGGGCGAAAGCCUGAUCCAGCAAUGCCGCGUGAGUGAUGAAGGCCUUAGGGUUGUAAAGCUCUUUUACCCGGGAUGAUAAUGACAGUACCGGGAGAAUAAGCUCCGGCUAACUCCGUG